CCGGCGGAAGAAGAAGCAGUUCUGAGUUUUGGCCCAUCGCAUGUAAGCAGACUGUCCCCAAGCCUCUGUGAAGUUUGCUGAUCUGAGAAGGCCCACCUCUCAUUCAGUGGACGAUGGCAUUUGAACGGACACCAAAAAAGGAUUGGUACAGCAUUCUGGGGGCAAACCCAUCUGCAAGUAUAUCAGACUUAAAACAAAAUUAUCAAAAACUCAUAUUAAUGUAUCAUCCGGAUAAACAAAGUGCAGAUGUGCCAGCAGGAACAGUGGAGGAAUGUAUACAGAAGUUCAUCGAGAUUGAUCAGGCGUGGAAAAUUCUAGGGAAUGAAGAGACGAAACAAGAGUAUGACCUGCAGCGGCAUGAAGAUGAUCUAAGAAAUAUGGGACCGGUAGAUGCUCAAGUAUAUCUUGAAGAAAUGUCUUGGAACAAAGAUGAUAACUCUUUUUCUCUGAGUUGCCGCUGUGGUGGAAAAUACAGUGUUUCCAAGGAAGAAGCAGAAGAAGUUACCCUGAUUUCCUGUGAUACUUGUUCACUAAUUAUAGAACUGCUUCACUGCAGCUGAAACUGUUUGCCAAGUGGAAUUCUUUAACUGCAUAUUCAGGAAUGUUGGAGAGUCCAUUCCAACUUUCUCCAUUCAAGCAACUGUAGAGAAGAAAAAGGAGGGACAGAGGAAGAGAGAAAGAAAUUGACUGUUGUUCCACUUGCAUUAUUGUUCCAAUGCAUUGUUGUUUCCACUGAUGCAUUCAUUGCUUGUAUGUGUCCUGGCCGGGGAUCAAACCUCCAACACUGGCAUAUCGGGAGGCCACUCUAACCCUCUGAGCUACCCAGCCAGGGGAUCACUCUCCUGUAUUAGUGUUACUAGUUACAGGCUCUAGGGCCAAGAGUGAGGCUAGUUCCUACCUAGAUCAGUGGAUUUAUGUGCAGUGAAGCAUAAGGUUGGCUCAAGGAGACAAGUGAGUUUAUCUCAGUUCAUAAAUGAAGAGAACAAAAUCGUGUAUUUGGAAAAGCCGUGUGUCAUUAAACUCUGAAGUACUGCCUUGGGAGAAGCCACACGUGAACACCUACUGUGUUUAAACUUCCAUAGUUUCUCCAUCAUGGUUUAGGAAUGCCGGGAAAGGCAAAAGAAGAAAAAAUUGUAUAGGCUAAUACCAACAGCUCGGGAAGAUACAAACCAAAGCUGGAACUCAAAUAUUUGCUGGUGAUUAUUAGUAAGUAGAAAUUUCUUGUAAAAUACAAUCACUUUGAUGGUACUUAUGACCUAAGUUUCUUCCAAAUUAGCUAAAUAUGGUCAUCAAGUGUUCUCUCUGGUAUAGUAAAAUUAAUAGGCAUGGAAAGAAAUCAGCUAAGAGAACCCCAGAACAUCACCAGAAGCCUUUGGAGGAGGCUAGCCACGCCUCAUCCUUGACUGCAAGAGAUGGAACAAGAGGGAGGAAUAGCAGUGCAAACCAGUAUGUAUAUGUGGCUCUCCGGUUUAGUUCAUAAUAAUAAUAAAAACUCAUUUGACCCUUAAAACAACCUGUGAAGUACUAUUACUGAUAUUUAAUAGAAUGAGUAGGUUCCAGUAUGGGGCAUGUUACCUCCUACUUAUCUGAAGCCCAUACAUAGUAAUACCCACUUAUAGUAAAGGAAUAACCUCUGUAUCUCACAGACAUCAAUGCUUAAUAUAAAGGACAAAAAUCAAGGAAACAAGUUCAUCGCCUAUGGGACCUUUAAUCUAAUGAGCACUUCUCUACAGACAGGAAAGCCUCUAAGUGUGGAUCUUUUAAAAUCAAGCAGGACCUUUUGCUGACCCUGCCUUGUCCUCCCUGUAAAAAAUUCAUGUUUGAAAUUAUUCAGUUUUUGAAACACAACUGUUUUUCGUAGUAAGGGCGUACACCUUAAAAAGCAAUUUUAUAAAGGUAUACUUUACAUAUACCUUUUACACCGGUUUAAAUUUUGACACUAAUUUUGGAAAAUAUGCACAUCUAUAAAGCCACCUACCACAAUCAAGAUGGAGAACAUUUCUAGCAUGCCCAAAAGCCCCUCCCUGUUCCUGUCAGCCCCCCACCCUACAGCCAGUCCUAGGCAACUAGUGAUCAGUUUUCUGUUACUAGUGACAGUUUUACCUGCUUCUGAAUUUCAUAGGAAAGAAACUGCACAUUUAUAUGCACAGUAGAUACUAUUUGGUGUCUGGCUUUUGUUCAGCAAAUGUUUAUGAUUAAUGCAUGUUGUGGGUAUGUAUCAGUCAUUCAUUCCUUUUCACUGCUAGUGGUAUUCCAUUGUAAAUCACAUUUAUCCAUGACCUUAUUGAUGGGUAUUUACGUUGUUUGCAUUUGGGGGCUUUUACAAAUAAAGCACCAUGAACAUUUAUGUACAAGUCCAUUUUCAGUAAACACCUUGGGGUAGAAUUUCUAGGUCAUAUAAUUGGCCUUAAAAUUUUCCAAUGUGAUUAUGCCAUUUUACACUCCAAACAGCAAGGUAUGAGUUUUUCUGUUGUUCCAAAACCUUGAUGUUUUCAUUAAAAAAAAUGUUUGCCAUUCUAGUCAGUUACUAGUAUCACAUGGUUUUCAUUUGCAUUUCUCUGACAAGCAUUUUUUCUUAUGCCUGUUAUGUAUCCUUUAUGAAUUAUUAUUAAAAUA